rnacentral:rRNA from 1 species
CGCCAGCGACGGCCGGUUGGCGAGGUGCUGCAUGGUUUGUCGUCAGCUCGUGCCGUGAGGUGUCGGGUUAAGUCCCAUAACGAGCGCAACCCCUACUGCUAGUUGCCAGCGGGUCAUGCCGGGACUCUAGCGGAACUGCCAGCGUAAGCUGCGAGGAAGUGGGGAUGACGUCAAAUCAGCACGGCCCUUACGUCCAGGGCUACACACGUGUUACAAUGGCCAGUACAGAGGGCAGCCACCCCGCGAGGGGGCGCUAAUCCUAAAAGCUGGUCCCAGUUCGGAUCGGAGUCUGCAACCCGACUCCGUGAAGCUGGAUUCGCUAGUAAUCGCGCAUCAGCCACGGCGCGGUGAAUACGUUCCCGGGCCUU